rnacentral:rRNA from 1 species
GGCGCGCCUAAUACAUGCAAGUCGAACGAGUUCUGAUUAUUGAAAGGUGCUUGCAUCUUGAUUUAAUUUUGAACGAGUGGCGGACGGGUGAGUAACACGUGGGUAACCUGCCCUUAAGUGGGGGAUAACAUUUGGAAACAGAUGCUAAUACCGCAUAAAUCCAAGAACCGCAUGGUUCUUGGCUGAAAGAUGGCGUAAGCUAUCGCUUUUGGAUGGACCCGCGGCGUAUUAGCUAGUUGGUGAGGUAACGGCUCACCAAGGCAAUGAUACGUAGCCGAACUGAGAGGUUGAUCGGCCACAUUGGGACUGAGACACGGCCCAAACUCCUACGGGAGGCAGCAGUAGGGAAUCUUCCACAAUGGACGCAAGUCUGAUGGAGCAACGCCGCGUGAGUGAAGAAGGCUUUCGGGUCGUAAAACUCUGUUGUUGGAGAAGAAUGGUCGGCAGAGUAACUGUUGUCGGCGGGACGGUAUCCAACCAGAAAGCCACGGCUAACUACGUGCCAGCAGCCGCGGUAAUACGUAGGUGGCAAGCGUUAUCCGGAUUUAUUGGGCGUAAAGCGAGCGCAGGCGGUUUUUUAAGUCUGAUGUGAAAGCCCUCGGCUUAACCGAGGAAGUGCAUCGGAAACUGGAAAACUUGAGUGCAGAGGAGGACAGUGGAACUCCAUGUGUAGCGGUGAAAUGCGUAGAUAUAUGGAAGAACACCAGUGGCGAAGGCGGCUGUCUGGUCUGUAACUGACGCUGAGGCUCGAAAGCAUGGGUAGCGAACAGGAUUAGAUACCCUGGUAGUCCAUGCCGUAAACGAUGAAUGCUAGGUGUUGGAGGGUUUCCGCCCUUCAGUGCCGCAGCUAACGCAUUAAGCAUUCC